UGGGGAAUAUUGCGCAAUGGGGGGAACCCUGACGCAGCCAUGCCGCGUGAAUGAAGAAGGCCUUCGGGUUGUAAAGUUCUUUCGGUAUUGAGGAAGGUUGAUGUGUUAAUAGCACAUCAAAUUGACGUUAAAUACAGAAGAAGCACCGGCUAGCUCCGUGCCAGCAGCCGCGGUAAUACGGAGGGUGCGAGCGUUAAUCGGAAUAACUGGGCGUAAAGGGCACGCAGGCGGUUAUUUAAGUGAGGUGUGAAAGCCCCGGGCUUAACCUGGGAAUUGCAUUUCAGACUGGGUAACUAGAGUACUUUAGGGAGGGGUAGAAUUCCACGUGUAGCGGUGAAAUGCGUAGAGAUGUGGAGGAAUACCGAAGGCGAAGGCAGCCCCUUGGGAAUGUACUGACGCUCAUGUGCGAAAGCGUGGGGAGCAAACAGGAUUAGAUACCCUGGUAGUCCACGCUGUAAACGCUGUCGAUUUGGGGGUUGGGGUUUAACUCUGGCGCCCGUAGCUAACGUGAUAAAUCGACCGCCUGGGGAGUACGGCCGCAAGGUUA
rnacentral:rRNA from 1 species